GCCAGUAUGGUGGAAAUGACCCUCGGCUUGUAACCGAGAGGGCUCGGGUUUGAAACCCGAAUAAGACA